ACACUUUCCCUUCUAUUUCUGUAUACUACAUAAUUUAGAUUGAACUUCUACUUGUCUCUGGUCAAUUAAUUCAACAUAUUUAUUCUUAGUCUUCCUACAAUAUAAUGCCUACUAAAAUUUCAGUCUUGGGUAAAUCUGUUGGCAUCAAAGUUGGCAUCACUGUCAGUCAAAGAUUGCAGUUGAGUGCAUGGCACAGAAACUCAAGUACAAUGGCUUAACCAAAUAAGACAAUUAUUCUUUUAAUAAGAGUAAUAAAUCCAGAGGUUGACAGUCCAGGGCUGAUACAAUAGUUCUGCUAUGCCAUUAGUAUUCUGAACUCCUUUCUGUCCUGCUCUCCUUAUCAUUUGGUUUUAAUUCCCAUAGUAAUCUCAUGAUUUCUUCAAGGCCAAAAGCAGUGUGUCAUCUUCAGCCUCACAUCCAAAGAACAGGCAGGAGAAAAGAAAGGAAGUACCAGAAAAAGUGUCUGUACCUAUGUAUGUAUGAAUCCAACAAUAUGUAUCCAGCAUAUGCUUUAACCAGCACACUGCUGCUCUGAAUGAAAUCACAUUUCCUAGUGAGGAAGAGGAGAAUACAUAUUGAGGUCACUUCAUUAUCUGCCAUAGUAUUAUUGAAAAUUAUGUUUUCUAAUGUUAACUCCACAGGUAAUCAUUCUAUUUUCACCUAAUUAUAUACCUCUUUGUAUUAGUCUUCUGGGGCUACUGUACCAAAAUACCAAACUGGGCGGCUUAAACAAUAGAAAUUUGUUUUCUCACAGUCUGAAGACUAGAAAUCCAAGAUCAAGGUGUUGGCAAAUUUGGUUUCUCUUGAGAUCUCUCUCCUUGGUUUGCUGAUGGCCACCUCCUCACUGUGUCCUUAUAUGCUCUUUUCUCUGUGCACACAUGUCCUUGGUUGUUUCUCCAUCUUCUUGUAAGGACACUAGUCCUAAUGGGUUAGGGCCCCACCCAUAUAACCUCAUUUAUCCUUAUUUACCUCUCCAAAGACCCCAUCUCCAAAUACAGUCACACUAGGGGUUAGGGCUUCAACAUAUGAAUUUUAGGAAGCGUAUUACAUGUAACAUAGUCCAUAAUCCUCUUCUAUUACCUACAGAAGAUACAUCAAACCUUCACCUCUCUUUGUUAAUCAGUUAUACACCAUUUCUUCCUUCACUUUUAAAAAAUGUACCCUGUCUUCACUGUAACUCAUAGAGACUAUGAGAUAAGAACCUCUUUAUCUUUCUCCCUUUUCUUCUUCACUUGAAUUUACCUUCAACUUUCACACAUCCAUUUUUCCUUCCAUUUAAAGUCAGGAAAGUAAUAGCAGUAGCAGCUGAAAAUUUCAGAAUUAAAACAUACAUGUAGAAUGAACAGCAUCUCCUGAAGUAAUAAAACAAGAAUGAUGUCAAAUAAACCAUUAAUUGUUUUCCCAAGGUUUGGAGAAUUCUUUUCAGCAGAUAAUAGGACCUUUAGCUUUUCCCUGAUGGUUUUGUCACUAUUUUCAAGAUAAUGACAACAUUUCAUGUUUUCUUCAGAAAAAAAUAUGAAUCUUUCUUUUUAAGUUUAUCAGAGUAUGUUGUCUAUCAAUAUUUGAAUGACAUCACAAUGACAUCUAGUGGCUAUAGAAAUUUCUUUCAUCUCUAAGUACAUUUUUAAGUAUAUAAAGAUCUUUCUAGGCUGGAAAUUCUAAGCUGAAAAUAAUGGAAAAUGAGUCAUUGUAAUGUAGUUGUUGUCUUAACAAUCUUUUUUGUUUUUGAAACUGAUUCUCCCACCCUUCUACUUUUAUUCCAUUCUCUACAGAAAUGGAAAGUAUAUGGAAAAAAUUGAUUCCUGAUCAAAAGCGCCAUGCUGGUGCCCAUGGUGACACUUCAUAGAAUCCUUCUUGAGUGCAGAAAUGAGCAGCUAGACACAAAAGUGUUGUUAAAUGUCCUGUAGAACGACGUUCAGGUACUUAGAGCUUCAUAGAACAAGUAUUAGAUCCUUUCCUACAAUCCCAAAACAUGUUUGAAGGAUUUACUAGGACACGAAAUUCACAUUUGGAUUUCAGUAUAACUCAGAGUUAUGGUGGUGCUAUCCAACACUUUUUUGGAAGGGAGUUUGCUUGAUACCAACACAACGCUUGCCAGAACUCAGCAGGCCAAAUUCUAGUUCUGGAAUAUGUGGGAACCAAGAGAUCAGCAGUUAAAUGAUGAGGGCCGUAUCACUUUCAGUGCUCCAAGGAAACAAAUUCUACCUAAUGGUCUAGAAGUUUUCUCUUGGCCUCAGGAAAUUUUGCUUUUGAUGCCUCCUUCAGUAGAAGAAAAAGUUUGAUAAAACUUUUUAAUGAAAGC